UCUGGUUUGGCCUAAAGGUUGGGCAGCAGACUGUUAAUCUGCGGGAGCAAUCCCUAUAUAGGUUCGAGUCCUAUAGCCAGAG
rnacentral:tRNA from 1 species